rnacentral:rRNA from 1 species
GACAGAGGGGGCAAGCGUUGUCCGGAGUGACUGGGCGUACAGCGCGCGCAGGCGGUUGGUGACGUGCCGGUGUCACAGCCCUGAGCUCAACUCAGGGUGGCCACGGUAGACGCACCGGCUGGAGGCAGGGAGAGGGAUGUGGAAUACCCGGUGGAGCGGUGAAAUGCGUAGAGAUCGGGUGGAACACCAGUGGCGAAGGCGGCAUCCUGGCCCUGACCUGACGCUGAGGCGCGAGAGCGUUGGGGAGCAAACGGG